CCUACGGGAGGCAGCAGUGAGGAAUAUUGGUCAAUGGACGGAAGUCUGAACCAGCCAUGCCGCGUGCAGGAAGACGGCUCUAUGAGUUGUAAACUGCUUUUGUACAAGGGUAAACAUGAAUACGUGUAUUCAGCUGAAAGUACCGUACGAAAAAGGAUCGGCUAACUCCGUGCCAGCAGCCGCGGUAAUACGGAGGAUCCAAGCGUUAUCCGGAUUUAUUGGGUUUAAAGGGUGCGUAGGCGGAUUGAUAAGUUAGAGGUGAAAUGUCCGGGCUUAACUCGGGAACUGCCUCUAAUACUGUUGAUCUAGAGAGUAGAUGCGGUAUGCGGAAUGUAUGGUGUAGCGGUGAAAUGCUUAGAGAUCAUACAGAACACCGAUUGCGAAGGCAGCUUACCAAUCUAUAUCUGACGUUGAGGCACGAAAGCGUGGGGAGCGAACAGGAUUAGAUACCCGAGUAGUC
rnacentral:rRNA from 1 species